rnacentral:lncRNA from 1 species
GGCCCGGGGCGGGGGCGGGGCGGGGCGGGGCGGGGCGCGCCGGGGGCAGCGACGCGGGCGCCGUCCCGUGAGGCGCGGAAGGGCGGGCUGUGGAGGCGGCGCGGCCCUCGGCCUCGGGAGGCUGGACGGCGGACGCGGACUCGAGACCUGUGGGGAGGCCGCCUCUCUUUGUUUUAAGACUUCUAUGCUGACUCCGCGUGCAGCAAAAAAUAAAGCCUCCUCCGAGAUGGUCGGUGCAGUUUCCUCACUUCUAAAUUUGGUAAUUCCGCUGUACUUGGGAUUUUGACAAGUUUUCCACCUGCUAAGAAAGGGUGUUCUGAAGCCAGUGUAUUCCUAAAUCGAGAGCUAAAGGAAAAGGAAAUGCAAGAGACAAAUGAGAUCCUUGUCACAAGAAACAAAGGACACAGAAAAAAGCCAUGCAAAUUAGGAAAAACAUAAGACUUCAGAGUCAUAUUCUCAAAAAAUUCUAGCUAGGUCACUGUCAAGCUGUGUAAUUUGGUCAUUACUCAAUCUUUGACCUUUUGCUUUCCUAAAUUAUAAAAAUAAAGGUAAUAUUAACUACCA